rnacentral:rRNA from 1 species
UGGGGAAUAUUGCACAAUGGGCGAAAGCCUGAUGCAGCCAUGCCGCGUGUAUGAAGAAGGCCUUCGGGUUGUAAAGUACUUUCAGCGGGGAGGAAGGCGAUAAGGUUAAUAACCUUGUCGAUUGACGUUACCCGCAGAAGAAGCACCGGCUAACUCCGUGCCAGCAGCCGCGGUAAUACGGAGGGUGCAAGCGUUAAUCGGAAUUACUGGGCGUAAAGCGCACGCAGGCGGUCUGUCAAGUAGGAUGUGAAAUCCCUGGGCUCAACCUGGGAACUGCAUUCGAAACUGGCAGGCUAGAGUCUUGUAGAGGGGGGUAGAAUUCCAGGUGUAGCGGUGAAAUGCGUAGAGAUCUGGAGGAAUACCGGUGGCGAAGGCGGCCCCCUGGACAAAGACUGACGCUCAGGUGCGAAAGCGUGGGGAGCAAACAGG